rnacentral:lncRNA from 1 species
UAAUUACAUCUUCACCUUCUAAACCUUCACUAGAGGAGCUUGUCAAGCAAAUGGUUGUAAAUAGUCUCCAAUUUCAGCAGCGAAUAGAUUCUAGUAUUCAAACUUUGCAAACACAAAUUGGACAGCUUGCCACUUCAAUGAAUAUCAUGCAACCCUCAAGGAUCAAACCAACUACCUGCCCAAACAGUAGUGAAUCCAAAAUGGCUCAAUGUGAGUGCAAUUUCCUUGAGAUCCAAAUAAG